AACGAACGCUGGCGGCGUGCUUAACACAUGCAAGUCGAACGCGAACGGGUUCUUCGGGACCUUAGUAGAGUGGCGCACGGGUGAGUAACGCGUAAGUUAUCUACCUCGGCAUCUGGAAUAACUCACCGAAAGGUGCGCUAAUACCGGAUACGUUGAGUAAUCAUGAAAGGUGGCCUCUCUUUGAUGCUACGGUGCUGAGCUGAGCUUGGGUACCAUUAGCUAGUUGGUGGGGUAAUGGCCGACCAAGGCGACGAUGGUUAGAGGGUCUGGGAGGAGGAGCCGCCACACUGGAACUGGAACACGGACCAGACUCAUACGGGAGGCAGCAGUGAGGAAUAUUGCGCAAUGGGGGCAACCCUGACGCAGCGACGCCGCGUGGAUGAUGAAGGCCUUCGGGUCGUAAAAUCCUGUCAGGUGGAAAGAAAUGUAUAUGUGCUAAUACCAUGUAUACUUGACGGUACCACCGAAGGAAGCACCGGCUAACUCCGUGCCAGCAGCCGCCGUAA
rnacentral:rRNA from 1 species